GAUGAAGAACGUAGCGAAAUGCGAUAAGUAAUGUGAAUUGCAGAAUUCAGUGAAUCAUCGAAUCUUUGAACGCACCUUGCACCCUUUGGCAUUCCGAAGGGUAUGCUCGUUUGAGUGUCAUUGUACUCUCACACUUCCAAUCUUUGGAUUGGGAGCAGUGGACUUGGGUGUUGCUGCUUACUGUGGCUCACCUCAAAUCGAUUCGUGCACCUCUUGGUUGGACAUAGUACGGCGUGAUAAGUGUCUUCGCCGGCACCUCAGUAGAGGGUGGCUGAUCAGGAGCUCUGUGCUUCAAACCGUCCUCGGACAACAACUGACAACUUGACCUCAAAUCGAGUAGGACUACCCGCUGAACUUAAGCAUAUCAAUAGCGGAGGA
rnacentral:misc_RNA from 1 species